ACACAUGCAAGUCGAACGGCAGCGGGGGUAGCUUGCUACCUGCCGGCGAGUGGCGAACGGGUGAGUAAUACAUCGGAACGUGCCCUGUAGUGGGGGAUAACUAGUCGAAAGACUAGCUAAUACCGCAUACGACCUGAGGGUGAAAGUGGGGGACCGCAAGGCCUCAUGCUAUAGGAGCGGCCGAUGUCUGAUUAGCUAGUUGGUGGGGUAAAGGCCCACCAAGGCGACGAUCAGUAGCUGGUCUGAGAGGACGAUCAGCCACACUGGGACUGAGACACGGCCCAGGCUCCUACGGGAGGCAGCAGUGGGGAAUUUUGGACAAUGGGGGCAACCCUGAUCCAGCAAUGCCGCCGUGUGUGAAGAAGGCCUUCGGGUUGUAAAGCACUUUUGUCCGGAAAGAAAUCGCACUGGUUAAUACCUGGUGUGGAUGACGGUACCGGAAGAAUAAGGACCGGCUAACUACGUGCCAGCAGCCGCGGUAAUACGUAGGGUCCAAGCGUUAAUCGGAAUUACUGGGCGUAAAGCGUGCGCAGGCGGUUGUGCAAGACCGAUGUGAAAUCCCCGGGCUUAACCUGGGAAUUGCAUUGGUGACUGCACGGCUAGAGUGUGUCAGAGGGAGGUAGAAUUCCACGUGUAGCAGUGAAAUGCGUAGAGAUGUGGAGGAAUACCGAUGGCGAAGGCAGCCUCCUGGGAUAACACUGACGCUCAUGCACGAAAGCGUGGGGAGCAAACAGGAUUAGAUACCCUGGUAGUCCACGCCCUAAACGAUGUCAACUAGUUGUUGGGGAUUCAUUUCCUUAGUAACGUAGCUAACGCGUGAAGUUGACCGCCUGGGGAGUACGGGUCGCAAGAUUAAAACUCAAAGGAAUUGACGGGGACYCGCACAAGCGGUGGAUGAUGUGGAUUAAUUCGAUGCAACGCGAAAAACCUUACCUACCCUUGACAUGCCACUAACGAAGCAGAGAUGCAUUAGGUGCUCGAAAGAGAAAGUGGACACAGGUGCUGCAUGGCUGUCGUCAGCUCGUGUCGUGAGAUGUUGGGUUAAGUCCCGCAACGAGCGCAACCCUUGUCUCUAGUUGCUACGAAAGGGCACUCUAGAGAGACUGCCGGUGACAAACCGGAGGAAGGUGGGGAUGACGUCAAGUCCUCAUGGCCCUUAUGGGUAGGGCUUCACACGUCAUACAAUGGUGCAUACAGAGGGUUGCCAAGCCGCGAGGUGGAGCUAAUCCCAGAAAAUGCAUCGUAGUCCGGAUCGUAGUCUGCAACUCGACUACGUGAAGCUGGAAUCGCUAGUAAUCGCGGAUCAGCAUGCCGCGGUGAAUACGUUCCCGGGUCUUGUACACACCGCCCGUCAC
rnacentral:rRNA from 1 species